GUGCUUUAAAGAGAGCAAACAAGAACCAUCUUCUGGUAAAAACAUUUAAUUUUACUUUAUGUCUUCUUUCUGAUACUAGGGGACAUUUGGGAGGAAAGAUUGAAGCCAGAAGUACAUGUGUGAAUUUAAGGACACCAGAUGAAAAAUAAUGGGCUUUCUCUGAAAGGUUGUUCCACAGAAAUGCCAGACGGGUGGCGUUAUGCUUGCUUUGAGGUUGAGUUCCUGUGGAAUGCCACACACGGAGAGGACUCAGACAACCACCAGUGGACACAGCACACCCGCCAUUAGUGCUUCAUUUGAAAAACAAAACUGCACAUCCUCUUUCUAAGUCAUCUUCCUCUCCCACUUGCCUGGUACUUUUGUCUUUUGUGAGUUUGUUUUCUUAUCAGAGGAUUACUUCCAGUGGUGGUGGUGGGGAUGCAGUUUGGACAGCUAAAUGUAUACAGCAAGCAGCUCAUCCAAGGGCACACCAUUAGAUGAUUAAUUUGACCUGACAGAUCAAGACAACACAGAGGCUGGAAUUCAAACUUUGACUAUGUGCUUCUAUUUAAUAUGUCACCUGUAAGAUAAAUAAGCCCUGGAAGGGAAACGUGGCUGGUUAACCCGGUUCUAAAGCAAAGAUGCUGAAGGCCUUAAGAACGGGGUCUUGCACAAUGUGGUCCAAUCGCAGACCAUCUUCAGAUGAAAGGAACAGCGAGGUUGCCUUCAUAUAAAAACACUUUGAAUCUGACAGCUAUAACUGCAACUAGAUGACCCUUCCUCCAGCUUUAAUCCGAGCUGUUUACCACGUUGUAAUGAUGAAAGGAAAUACUUCUCUUCAGUUUUCUAAACGAAUGGUUAAAGCACUGUAGUGUUGUCAGCGAAACCAAGAAUCAGGGAGGCAGACCCCUAAACUAAAUCACAUAAAAUCACUCAGCCUGGCUUGUUAAACACUGACCAAUCAGUACUUUAAUACUCCUUACGAGCAGGCUGAGUCCAUUGGCCUGAGAAAGCAAAUGUUUUUGAAUCAAAUGAUUUGAUAUUAAUAAACUGCAAAGAAUUUUAAAAAUCUACCACUUAGUACUAUAGCACAGAGUAAGUAAGCCUGUUAGUACAACAGUAUAAUAGUGAUUUAGCACAAAGAUAUAUGUUAAAAUAUCCUAAGCUGAAUUGUAAAAUAACAACUCAAAAUAUAAAGUUUUGGAGCUAUCCUGACGGAUAAUAAAUCAUACUGUUCACAGGGAUGUAGUCCUCAAAUUCUUUAUUCCUUUCAUCUCCUGGGGCACCCAUAGCUUACCUCUGCUUAAUCCUUACUCUACCCUCAAAGAGUCUGCUGUGCUGAGGAAAGAGGAAGUUAGUUAAAUAUGCCCAUGGCUCUGUGGGAAGACCUAAAAUAGUGAACUGUAACAGAGGGCAACUGACC
rnacentral:lncRNA from 1 species